rnacentral:rRNA from 1 species
AUGUGGCUGGAGAACCCUUUUUCUCCAAAACGUCGGCACUGUCGUGCUCAUCGUACACGCCGGCAUGGUGGUGCUCAACUUAUGGGAAAACUCCGCGGAAAGCUGCUGCAGAUAGGUGUUGUGCUGGCGAGGCUGCUGGCGCCUUGUAUGUCAACCCACGACCGCUAUAGCGCGAUGUGGAGGGCCACUCCUCCUUGUCCCCCUCCGCCUCGCGAACAAAGGCAUCCCAGUCAUCCUUUUUUGCCGGAUCUGUCACCUUUGGUGCCGUCGGUGUCGACAUUGGGACAGAGAGGGGGAGGGGAAUGGACGUGGAGUGGAGUCACACGAGGGUGCGGGUGGGUGGUCCACGGAUUCCCUACACUCAAAGACAUCGCCUUCUGCAACGGCGAGCUGUACGGUCUUUCGUGGACUAAAAUGUUAUACAGGUUCAUCAUCGGGCAGAACAAAUCCGGCGCACCGAUGAUCACCUCAGUCGACCAGGUAACCAUGGUACCCAUCGGCUACGGGGAUGCCAACUAUAUCGUCGAGCUAUGCGGCAAGCUUGCAAUAGCAUUGGAGAUCUCAAACCACUCCAAGGGAUCGCCCUCAUACGUAUGGGUAAAGGUGGUGAACCUGGGAGAUCAUGCCCUGUUCCUGGGGGCAGGAUGCUGCAAGGCGGUGCACGUGUCGACCGCGGACAAGCGCGGCAUAGUGGAAGCAAACUGUAUCUACUACUCCCCUAACAACGACUAUCCAAGCAACUUGGUGAGGUUGGACCUCGACAGUUGUUUUGUGUAUUGCUGUGAAAGCAACUUGCACCACUCACAAAGGAUCGUGUCACGGGGAUACUAUUGUUGCUACCCGAAGGAUGACCGUAGUGCUAAGCCUGUUUGGACCCCCGAAGGAUUUAUUGAGUCGCACCUCUUUGCUUUAUCCAAAAAUAAAGAGUCGCACCUCUUUGAAGCGGCAGUUGACCGGAUCAUAAGAGAAAUUAAGAUCUCUCAGCUAAUGGGCAACUACUUGAAGAGAUCAAAGGGUUGCUUCGGUCUUUUGAUGAUUUUAAGGUUGCUUGGGUGCGGAAUAGCGUGGAUCGCCUCACACACCCUUGCCUUAACUUUUGCUGCUUCGUUUUGCCCUCUUUUUGCUCAUGAUCGGCGUUACCAAAUAGAGACGGCAUCCACCAUUACCACACCAACAUGGGUGCUCACUGACACCGCGCAGGUACGGGGUGUGGCCAUCGGCACCACCCCUAUGCGUCAGAUCAUCAUCGUUGUCAACGUAUACGACACAUGCUCAAUGCAACACCCUGGUCCGGGCGCUCCGGUACCAAGCACCCCGGCCGUCACCAGCACUAGGAGACCGUGCCCAACUCCAUCACCACCAGUGGCAAAUCGCCAACUUAGCCUCCGCCUGAGAACAUGGAUUCCACGAGGUCUCAACCUCCCAAUCAGCACCGCGAAGACACCUCCCCAUCAACGCCACAAAGACUGCUGCCUGCUAAUCUCCACCACCUCAACAUGGCAGUGGAUGAUGGUGCAGCGGCAUAUGGAAACAGAGGUAUGGAAGAACCUUGUUUAG